GACGAACGCUGGCGGCGUGCUUAACACAUGCAAGUCGAACGGAAAGGCCCUGCUUUUGUGGGGUGCUCGAGUGGCGAACGGGUGAGUAACACGUGAGUAACCUGCCCUUGACUUUGGGAUAACUUCAGGAAACUGGGGCUAAUACCGGAUAGGAGCUCCUGCUGCAUGGUGGGGGUUGGAAAGUUUCGGCGGUUGGGGAUGGACUCGCGGCUUAUCAGCUUGUUGGUGGGGUAGUGGCUUACCAAGGCUUUGACGGGUAGCCGGCCUGAGAGGGUGACCGGCCACAUUGGGACUGAGAUACGGCCCAGACUCAUACGGGAGGCAGCAGUGGGGAAUAUUGCACAAUGGGCGGAAGCCUGAUGCAGCAACGCCGCGUGCGGGAUGACGGCCUUCGGGGUGUAAACCGCUUUCGCCUGUGACGAAGCGUGAGUGACGGUAAUGGGUAAAGAAGCACCGGCUAACUACGUG
rnacentral:rRNA from 1 species